rnacentral:rRNA from 1 species
ACUGGGACUGAGACACGGCCCAGACUCCUACGGGAGGCAGCAGUGGGGAAUUUUGGACAAUGGGCGCAAGCCUGAUCCAGCCAUGCCGCGUGUCUGAAGAAGGCCUUCGGGUUGUAAAGGACUUUUGUCAGGGAAGAAAAGGCUGUUGCUAAUAUCGACAGCUGAUGACGGUACCUGAAGAAUAAGCACCGGCUAACUACGUGCCAGCAGCCGCGGUAAUACGUAGGGUGCGAGCGUUAAUCGGAAUUACUGGGCGUAAAGCGAGCGCAGACGGUUACUUAAGCAGGAUGUGAAAUCCCCGGGCUCAACCUGGGAACUGCGUUCUGAACUGGGUGACUAGAGUGUGUCAGAGGGAGGUAGAAUUCCACGUGUAGCAGUGAAAUGCGUAGAGAUGUGGAGGAAUACCGAUGGCGAAGGCAGCCUCCUGGGAUAACACUGACGUUCAUGCUCGAAAGCGUGGGUAGCAAACAGGAUUAGAUACCCUGGUAGUCCACGCCCUAAACGAUGUCAAUUAGCUGUUGGGCAACUUGAUUGCUUAGUAGCGUAGCUAACGCGUGAAAUUGACCGCCUGGGGAGUACGGUCGCAAGAUUAAAACUCAAAGGAAUUGACGGGGACCCGCACAAGCGGUGGAUGAUGUGGAUUAAUUCGAUGCAACGCGAAGAACCUUACCUGGUCUUGACAUGUACGGAAUCCUCCAGAGACGGAGGAGUGCCUUCGGGAACCGUAACACAGGUGCUGCAUGGCUGUCGUCAGCUCGUGUCGUGAGAUGUUGGGUUAAGUCCCGCAACGAGCGCAACCCUUGUCAUUAGUUGCCAUCAUUUAGUUGGGCACUCUAAUGAGACUGCCGGUGACAAGCCGGAGGAAGGUGGGGAUGACGUCAAGUCCUCAUGGCCCUUAUGACCAGGGCUUCACACGUCAUACAAUGGUCGGUACAGAGGGUAGCCAAGCCGCGAGGUGGAGCCAAUCUCACAAAACCGAUCGUAGUCCGGAUUGCACUCUGCAACUCGAGUGCAUGAAGUCGGAAUCGCUAGUAAUCGCAGGUCAGCAUACUGCGGUGAAUACGUUCCCGGGUCUUGUACACACCGCCCGUCACACCAUGGGAGUGGGGGAUACCAGAAGUAGGUAGGGUAACCGCAAGGAGCCCGCUUACCACGGUAUGCUUCAUGACUGGGGUGAAGUCGUAACAAGGUAGCCGUAGGGGAACCUGCGGCUG